UACCGCGUGUGUGAAGAAGGCCUUAGGGUUGUAAAGCACUUUCAAUUGGGAGGAAAACCUACCGGUCAAUACCCGGUAGCUUGACAUUACCUUUAGAAGAAGCACCGGCUAACUCCGUGCCAGCAGCCGCGGUAAUACGGAGGGUGCGAGCGUUAAUCGGAAUUACUGGGCGUAAAGCGUGCGUAGGCGGUUCGUUAAGUCAGAUGUGAAAGCCCUGGGCUCAACCUGGGAACUGCAUUUGAAACUGGCGGACUAGAGUUUAGUAGAGGGGAGUGGAAUUUCAGGUGUAGCGGUGAAAUGCGUAGAUAUCUGAAGGAACACCAGUGGCGAAGGCGACUCCCUGGACUAGAACUGACGCUGAGGUACGAAAGCGUGGGUAGCAAACAGGAUUAGAUACCCUGGUAGUCCACGCCGUAAACGAUGUCAACUAGCCGUUGGGCCUAUAUACAGGUUUAGUGGCGCAGCUAACGCAUUAAGUUGACCGCCUGGGGAGUACGGCCGCAAGGUUAAAACUCAAAUGAAUUGACGGGGGCCCGCACAAGCGGUGGAGCAUGUGGUUUAAUUCGAUGCAACGCGAAGAACCUUACCUACCCUUGACAUCCAGAGAAUCUGUUAGAGAUAGU
rnacentral:rRNA from 1 species